rnacentral:rRNA from 1 species
GUGUCAGCAGCCGCGGUAAUACGUAGGGUGCGAGCGUUGUCCGGAAUUACUGGGUGUAAAGGGUCCGCAGGCGGGCAAAUAAGUCAGAGGUGAAAUGCUUCGGCUCAACCGAAGAAAUGCCUUUGAUACUGUUUGUCUUGAAUCCGAGAGAGGAUAGUGGAAUUCAUGGUGUAGCGGUGAAAUGCGUAGAGAUCAUGAAGAACACCAGUAGCGAAGGCGGCUAUCUGGCUCGGUAUUGACGCUCAGGGACGAAAGCGUGGGUAGCAAACAGGAUUAGAUACCCGGGUAGUCC